rnacentral:rRNA from 1 species
AUUGAACGCUGGCGGCAGGCCUAACACAUGCAAGUCGAACGAGUGGCGGACGGGUGAGUAAGGUCUGGGAAACUGACCGAUGGAGGGGGAGAACUACUGGAAACGGUAGCUAAUACCGCAUACCAUCGGAUGUGCCCAGAUGGGAAUAGCUAGUAGGUGGGGUAACGGCUCACCAAGGCGACGAUCCCUAGCUGGUCUGAGAGGAUGACCAGCCAAACUGGAACUGAGACACGGUCCAGACUCCUACGCGAGGCAGCAGUGGGGAAUAUUGCACCUUGGGCGCAAGCCUGAUGCAGCCAUGCCGCGUGUACUAAGAAGGCCUUCGGGUUGUAGAGUACUUCCAGCGGGGAGGCGUUACCCGCAGAAGAAGCACCGGCUAACUCCGUGCCAGCAGCCGCGGUAAUUC